rnacentral:rRNA from 1 species
AUUGAACGCUGGCGGCAGGCCUAACACAUGCAAGUCGAACGAGUGGCGGACGGGUGAGUAAUGUCUGGGAAACUGCCUGAUGGAGGGGGAUAACUACUGGAAACGGUAGCUAAUACCGCAUACCAUCGGAUGUGCCCAGAUGGGAUUAGCUAGUAGGUGGGGUAACGGCUAACCUAGGCGACGAUCCAUAGCGGGUCUGAGAGGAUGACCAGCCAAACGGGAACUGAGACACGGGCCAGACUCCUACGGGAGGCAGCAGUGGGGAAUAUUGCACAAUGGGCGCAAGCCUGAUGCAGCCAUGCCGCGUGUAUGAAGAAGGCCUUCGGGUUGUAAAGUACUUUCAGCGAGGAGGCGUUACCCGCAGAAGAAGCACCGGCUAACUCCGUGCCAGCCGCCGCGGUAAUUC